rnacentral:rRNA from 1 species
CCGCGGUAAUACGGAGGAUCCAAGCGUUAUCCGGAUUCAUUGGGUUUAAAGGGUGCGUAGGCGGAAUAGUAAGUUAGUGGUGAAAGCCUGCAGCUUAACUGCAGAAUUGCCAUUAAUACUGCUAAUCUAGAGUGUGUUUGAAGUGGGCGGAAUAUGACAUGUAGCGGUGAAAUGCAUAGAUAUGUCAUAGAACACCAAUUGCGAAGGCAGCUCACUAAGCCAUAACUGACGCUGAGGCACGAAAGCGUGG